UUGUGGUUUAUGUUUUUCCUUUUUUUGCACACUAGUCGAAUAUGUAUUCUUUUUUUUUUUUUUAGUCGACAGGUGAAGGUGAUUUUGACAGAUGUCCUCCAGACCGAAGAAGGGAGAAGAUACUUGAGUAGUUGUGGCCGUGAUUCCAAAAAGAAGUGCCAAACUGAGCUUAAAAGAGGAGCCAGGGAGAGGCGGAGUGAUGGAAGAUUAUCAGCAGAGCGCAGGGAUAGGAGAUCUAGUCCAGUUCACAAUAAGCAAUUAAACUCCCCAUCCUCUAAAGGGACUGAAUCAGCAUCUACUGAGGAGAACGAUAUACCACAGCCUAAAGAAACCAAAUCUCCACUUCCCAAGAGACUCAGAAGAUUCAACAAUUCACUAAAACAAACAGAGCCCACCACUUCUGACGAGAAUGAAUCAUGUUCACUUGAUGGAACUGUCUUUGCACAUAUUCCAGUGCCCAAACAGAAAGAAUCUAGAUCUGACACUGAAGAGAAUGAAUCAUAUCCACUUGAGCAAAGUGACUCUGCAAAGUGUACAAGUGCCAGUCCACUUAAUUCGGAUGGAACCAACAUCCCUGAUGAUAAGCAGAUCUCUGAAUGCAUUGUCACAGACACUCGGAGACACACUUCACUGUCACUGUCAAGGCACUGCCAUAGAAUGGAGCACUCAGGAAGUGAAGUACAUUCCACCCAGCAUAACACCAGCAAAAGAAAAAUUCAAGAGAGUGCAAAGAAAAUAGAAGAAGAGGGAAAGAAUGAUCAGGAGAAGGUAGAAGCUGUGGCGAAUGGCGAGAUGAUAGAGGAGGGAGGGGCCAGAGGGAGCGUCCUACGUCUAUCUCUUGGGGCAGUUGGGGACCAGCUGGAAAUGACAUUGGCCGAUGGAGAGGUGCCACCCAAGCGCUGUGAGCCACAGAGCACAGACGCAGACUCCAGAAAGGUGUCUAAACUAAAUACACCUGAACCGAGUAAGUGAGAUCUUUACAGUUAUACCUAAAUGAAGCACAGUAGUGAUAGUGCUUUCUAGGGAUGCAAAGGUACAGUGGGC
ensembl:lncRNA